rnacentral:rRNA from 1 species
GGGAACGUUAAGGGCGUCGAGCGGCGGACGGGUGAGUAAUGCCUAGGAAAUUGCCCUGAUGUGGGGGAUAACCAUUGGAAACGAUGGCUAAUACCGCAUGAUGCCUACGGGCCAAAGAGGGGGACCUUCGGGCCUCUCGCGUCAGGAUAUGCCUAGGUGGGAUUAGCUAGUUGGUGAGGUAAUGGCUCACCAAGGCGACGAUCCCUAGCUGGUCUGAGAGGAUGAUCAGCCACACUGGAACUGAGACACGGUCCAGACUCCUACGGGAGGCAGCAGUGGGGAAUAUUGCACAAUGGGCGCAAGCCUGAUGCAGCCAUGCCGCGUGUGUGAAGAAGGCCUUCGGGUUGUAAAGCACUUUCAGUCGUGAGGAAGGUGGUGUAGUUAAUAGCUGCAUUAUUUGACGUUAGCGACAGAAGAAGCACCGGCUAACUCCGUGCCAGCAGCCGCGGUAAUACGGAGGGUGCGAGCGUUAAUCGGAAUUACUGGGCGUAAAGCGCAUGCAGGUGGUUUGUUAAGUCAGAUGUGAAAGCCCGGGGCUCAACCUCGGAAUAGCAUUUGAAACUGGCAGACUAGAGUACUGUAGAGGGGGGUAGAAUUUCAGGUGUAGCGGUGAAAUGCGUAGAGAUCUGAAGGAAUACCGGUGGCGAAGGCGGCCCCCUGGACAGAUACUGACACUCAGAUGCGAAAGCGUGGGGAGCAAACAGGAUUAGAUACCCUGGUAGUCCACGCCGUAAACGAUGUCUACUUGGAGGUUGUGGCCUUGAGCCGUGGCUUUCGGAGCUAACGCGUUAAGUAGACCGCCUGGGGAGUACGGUCGCAAGAUUAAAACUCAAAUGAAUUGACGGGGGCCCGCACAAGCGGUGGAGCAUGUGGUUUAAUUCGAUGCAACGCGAAGAACCUUACCUACUCUUGACAUCC